rnacentral:rRNA from 1 species
UACGGGGGGGGCAAGCGUUGUUCGGAAUUACUGGGCGUAAAGGGCUCGUAGGCGGCCAACUAAGUCAGACGUGAAAUCCCUCGGCUUAACCGGGGAACUGCGUCUAAUACUGGAUGGCUUGAGUUUGGGAGAGGGAUGCGGAAUUCCAGGUGUAGCGGUGAAAUGCGUAGAUAUCUGGAGGAACACCGGUGGCGAAGGCGGCAUCCUGGACCAACACUGACGCUGAGGAGCGAAAGCCAGGGGAGCAAACGGG